UGAAAGACAGAAAAUAAUAUAUUUAUAAAAAAAAUCAAAAAGGAGGCCUUGGAUUAUAUACACUGUCAUGCUCCUGGCACAAAAUCUGGCUGAAACACUGCAGAUAAUUUUAUAAGCCUAGAGAAGGCACUGAAGAAAUACAAACAGAUCAAUGGAUGCCAGCAGUGAGAAAUAAACAGUUUCAACUGCUUUAUGCAACUAGAAUCACAUUGCAGCCAGAUUCGUUGCCAAGAUGAAGACUUGGAAAGCUUCUGUCAGACUAUUUCCAGUUACAGUGCUUUAUGAAAACACAGGAGAUAUGGUGUGCCUUGAUGAGAAAAAAACAGUGUAUAUAUAGGCUCAUCAUCCUUGAGCAAAAACACGAAGCCUACUUUCUGCUAUCUCCACUCUAUGGAAACCAUCCUCAUCACAGUCACUGAAAAAGAGGUUUGAAAUGUAGGCCAGGUAAAGGAGAAGAGGAGGUGAGAGAAGGAGAAGAAUGCUUUGGGGAGGACUGAAGGAGGGCUUGGAGGCAUAUAAAAGACAAAUUUGAAGAAAAGAGUUUAGAGUGGGGGAGCAGAAGAAGGAAAGGUUCUGCUGGAUGAGGUCCACUUUUGUUUUUGAAGACAUUUCUAUUGUGUUAACAAGACAAGCUUCCACUCUGUGUUGCAGUUUUGUUCCCAGUUUAUACCUCCAUGGAUAAUAACUUUCAAAAUGCUGAACAAUCUAAGCUGCUGCCAAGUGAUUUUCAGUUUUCCUCUGAAUGAAAAGAUCAACAAAAAGCUGUCUCCAUAAACAAAGUUAAAGUUUGUGCUUGGCCUGCCAGAUGAGGAUAUACUUUCACCACGGGGCCAGCAGGAAGGACAUUUGAACUUUCAGCUAUUGCCAGGACAUAGACCUCUUCUGUUAAGUUAAGCAACUAGCCUUUAUGAAAGCUGAGAAACAAACCAGACCAAAUGCUGUUCUGGGGCAAAAGGUACAGUAACAUAGCUCAAGAGAAGAAGAUUAGGAAGCAAGGUUACAAGAACCUAAAAACAUUACAAUAAAUCACACACAAAUACAUACAUAAUUCUGAGCGUAUGAAUUCAACUCAGAAAAGUAAGUAAAUCAGAAAUGAAGUCAAGUCUCUAUCAUUUAAUCCCUGUGAUUUCUGGAGAUUGCAAUCUAUAUGAUACAACUACUACCACACUCUGACUUUAGUACCUCUGAACUGCAGAACGAAUUACAGAAAAUGUAUCUGUGCAGACUUUCUUGCUUUUCCCACCAUAAGUUUUCAUAGCAGAGUGAGGAUAUUUAACAUGUAAAUUCACUUUAUGGCAUGUUUACAUAAACCACAAUGGCACAGCUAAAUCCCUAUACAUUGCUUUGAAAAUUGUCUCUGUCAUAUUGUUUUUCUUCUGUUAUUGCUGUUUUCUGCCAAGCUUGAGGGGGGAUGCAGGAUGUUCAAUAUUAUGUAAAACAAAAUAAAACAGAAAAUAAAGAUCCAGGAACUGGAUGGAUGUUUACGGAACAUAGCUGUUCCUGGGAAUUUAAACAAUCAUUUAAAACAGACUUGUUUUGUCCUUCAUAUGCUCUUGUACCUGGCAUAAACUUAGAAAGAGCAAGUGGCUUGAUUCUACAGCCUUUCCUCAUAUGAGCUAGUCUCAUGGCUUCAGUAAGACUAUCUGACAUGAGGAAAAGCUAAAGAAUUGGGCCCACAAUCUCUACCCUAAGAUCAGAUAAUUUAGACAGACAGACACAACCUAUGAGAAAGCAAAACGGACAGAAGAAGGGAAAGUGAGGGAUGGGCAAACUGGUUUAUGUUAGGAUUUGAAUGCUAUUUGUUCUAUUUGAGAUGCUACCCACCUGUGAAAUAAUCCUAGCAGUAAUGGCAGAGAGAUGGGACAGUCCGAGGCGAACAGAGAAACUCAGCCACAAAUGGGAAUGACUAGAAGUUAGGCAGCACUGCAGCGUGCAGCAGGAGUUCAGCACUUGAAGCAGCCAUCUCCCGCAUAAAGAAUAGGUGAAAUGUGGAAGGCUGUGGCAGCUACAUACGAGCAGACAGGGGAGAGAAUGGAAACUAUUUUUCUAAAUACAACAGGCAUUAACAGAAUGAUUCAAGUGUUACACUUCCACAGUCAAGCAGCCAGAAAGGAUGAAUGAAGUUCUGUCAUUACUGACCCUAACACACAGCCAACCAGGCUGCAAUAAGAUAUCCAUGUGCAUGUGCACAAUCUGCGUAUUAUAGAGUCUAGGACAGACUGUGGCUGGAUCUGUGCAAAGUGCAGAGAGAUAGGACACAAGGAGUCGUGCUAAUCCUUGUGUCUCUGCCAGUCACAUUUUCACUGGAGCGCACAGGCACUCUCCAGAAGGACAGCACCCAGUUAAGGACAAACCAUCUGCCCAGCCAAAAUUCCUUCUGGGGCUCCCAUGGCAACUUGGACACUCUAAGUAUCCCUACAGUGUAGGCUGGGACUUUAGUCAUUAACCACAUUAUUAGGGCUGAUAAAGUAUAGCACGCAAAGACCGCUCUUGCAAACAGGAAUGACAAGGCAACGGGCAGCACUGUGAUUGUCAUAGGGCAACCGCAGUCCAGUACAUAGUAAUGGCUAGGAAAUAGUUUGCAGCAACGUUAGAGCUGGCAGAGGUGAGAACCGAGAUUGCUUUUAUAUUGAAGUUAAUUUUAUUAUGGUUGUCCAUCUAUAACCCUUAUGAGCUGGUCAGAGCAGCCUUGGCAUAGAGAGGGAUGCACUAGCUGAUAGGCUUUCUAGCCUGAGAAGAUGGGCUGACAUUAUUUCCCUGUUGCACAAAAAUCCUCUCCACGGUUAUACUGUUGGCAGUGACAUGACCCCAUUUAUUUACAGGGUUAGCCUGUAGAUUUGAUAAAUAAAGACAAAUGGUCUCAACAGAAGUACAUCUUUCAUGAACUCUCCAUCUGACAGAUGCGGUCACAUUAAAAUGAAGAAAGAAUUUUCUACUCUGCAUACAGUCAUGAUAAGAAAGGGGAGAGAACACAUGCUGUUAGAGACUGAAGCUUUCCUUUUGUAUAUUUGUUUGUACUCGGACGUACCACAAUGAUGGGUGUGUUAGAAUAAAG